GACGAACGCUGGCGGCGUGCUUAGCACAUGCAAGUCGAACGGAAAGGCCCUGCUUUUGUGGGGUGCUCGAGUGGCGAACGGGUGAGUAACACGUGAGUAACCUGCCCUUGACUUUGGGAUAACUUCAGGAAACUGGGGCUAAUACCGGCUAGGAGCUCCUGCUGCAUGGUGGGGGUUGGAAAGUUUCGGCGGUUGGGGAUGGACUCGCGGCUUAUCAGCUUGUUGGUGGGGUAGUGGCUUACCAAGGCUUUGACGGGUAGCCGGCCUGAGAGGGUGACCGGCCACAUUGGGACUGAGAUACGGCCCAGACUCCUACGGGAGGCAGCAGUGGGGAAUAUUGCACAAUGGGCGGAAGCCUGAUGCAGCAACGCCGCGUGCGGGAUGACGGCCUUCGGGUUGUAAACCGCUUUCGCCUGUGACGAAGCGUGAGUGACGGUAAUGGGUAAAGAAGCACCGGCUAACUACGUG
rnacentral:rRNA from 1 species